rnacentral:misc_RNA from 1 species
AGCAGCCGCGGUAAUUCCAGCUCCAAUAGCGUAUAUUAAAGUUGUUGCAGUUAAAAAGCUCGUAGUUGAAUUUCGGGAUUGACGUGAUGGUCGUGCCUUACGGGGUAUGAACUGUUGCAGUCAAUUUCUCACCUUCUGGAGAAAUAUGAUGUCCUUAAUUGGGUGUCAUAUGGAACCAGAACUUUUACCUUGAAAAAAUUAGAGUGUUUAAAGCAGGCUUAUUGCUCGAAUACAUUAGCAUGGAAUAAUAAAAUAGGACGGCAUGGUUCUAUUUUGUUGGUUUCUAGGAUCACCGUAAUGAUUAAUAGGGAUAGUUGGGGGCAUUAGUAUUCAAUUGUCAGAGGUGAAAUUCUUGGAUUUAUUGAAGACUAACUACUGCGAAAGCAUUUGCCAAGGAUGUUUUCAUUAAUCAAGAACGAAAGUUAGGGGAUCGAAGACGAUCAGAUACCGUCCUAGUCUCAACCAUAAACGAUGCCGACCAGGGAUCGGCGGAUGUUACUUUUAGGACUCCGCCGGCACC